AUUUGGAGUGGGAAAUAUGGUUUAGCACUCCCUCCCUUCCUUUUCUUUUCUUCUUUUCUUUUCUUUUCUUUUCUUUUCUUUUCUUUUCUUUUCUUUUCUUUUCUUUUCUUCUUUUCUUUUCUAAGUUUAUUUAUUUUGAGAGAGACACAGUGCAAGUUGAGGAGGGGCAAAGGGAAAGAAUCCCAAGCAGACUCCUCACUGCCAGCGCAGACCCCAAUGUGGGGCUCGAACCCACAAAACUCUGAAAUUGUGACCUGAGCCGAAACCAAGAGUCGGGUGCUCAACUGACUGAGCCACCUAGGUGCCCCAUUUGCACUUUUUCUUUAAAUCCAAAUUGAUUCUAAUAUGUUAGGAGACAGCCCAAGAGGAAAUCAUUUGGGAUUGAGGAAGUCUAUCCCAUAGGUAAAUCCUACAAAAUGAGGACAGUGUAUUAACUAACUAUGAGUCCAUUACCAAAAUUCCCCUUGGCUUCCAAGUGGCAUCCCAUCAGGAAUUUUGCCGUAGGUUCCUGGGGUGCUGAGUGGCAGGAGUCGACCUUCUUCCUGAUUCUUCUGACACCCUUGUACUACUUGAGAAGGGAUGUUGACCUCCCUUUACUUCCCCCACUGCAUCCUAGGCUACAGUAGGUGCUGGUAGAUGGACUGAAAUGCUGCAAAGAUUGAGGCUGCCUCUUUCAAUUUUGAGGGAGUUGAUAUAUUUGAUGACCAAUAACAAUAGCUGUUGUAAGCCUAGCCUGUAGAUGUAGUAUUAAUGGAUGGGAUCCUGGCCUUCGUUGAGAAGGGGCAACUAUUUAUACUGUAUUAAACAUCCUAUGACUAAGCUAGAAGUACCUCGAAUCUGAGAGCAGGACUGAGAAUGCCAAAUAGACCACAGGUAGGAACAAAUGAGAGACAUGAAAAAAUGAAAGUAUAGAACUCCUAUUUAAUCCAGGUGACUUUUUCAUGAGCUUUAUCCAUGAUCCAAUCCCAAGAGAGUAGUCUCCCAUUGGGUGAAUGCCCCAACUAGGUAAUAGCUCUGACCACUCCCUUCCCACAAGCAUGCGGUCAGAUGUAUCUUGAAUUUUAUACUCAUUGAGGGAUGACACCAGAUUAUUUAGGAGGGAAUCUUACACAGAACUCUUAAAAUUCACAGCCAUCCUAAUGACCUGUAUGGCUGUCCAGUGAUAGGAAUAUAAGGAUUCAAAGAACAGAUAAAAGAGGGAAAGCUUGAUUUCUGAGCCCAAUGCCAUUAUGGCCAAGGUACUAGUGUCCAGCCAGGUGGCAGGAGUUUGUCCCUUUCUCUAGUGUAGCCACAGGCAAGAGCUUCUCUCCUGAGCACUCAGACAUGGCACAUUCUGAAGGGUUGGACUAUUCAGGACCUCUCCGAAAAAGAACAGGUAAGAAACAAAAAAGGGGGUUGGGGGGAGUGGCAGAGGGGGUGUAGUAAAGGAGACUCCCAAGCUGCACUGAAGCUCUUGGAUUCAUUUUGUUGCUAUCCCGGUACAGGCCACCAAAAACGAUGUGAAGUCAUUGAACACAACCAUCAAGAAAGAAUUCUUGAGAUGGGAGAAGUUAACAUCUGCAACCCACAAGAGGGUCAUCACCAAAACCCGACCACACUGGUGCUCUGCUCUUGAACUUCUAGUCUCCAGAACCGUGAGAAUUAAUGUCGGUUAUCUAAGAGCCGCCCAGUCUGCGGUACAAUUACAGCAGUGAGAAUGACUGAGGUGGCCCCCUUAACUCGUGCUGAGUGGCAAAGCCAACUAAGACAGUCAUGAUCUGUUGCUCCUCUUUGCGAAGCAUAUCAACAGAGACCCUCAUGCCAACUGACAAGCAUGUCCUCGGACAUGCCGGGGCACCUGGAGCUACUGACUAGACAUGCAUCUUCUGCAGACACUUCUUUUCUCAUUAAUUCUCCUUUAGGGAAAAAAUGGAAGAGGCCAGGCCAUUAACCAGACAGGGCCAGUGAAAUGGAAUCAGAUGAGUACCCAUGCAGUGCCUUCUCCUUUGUGAAUCAGGAAAAUGGGCUUUUAUAAGUGCACCCCCAAUGAAAGCUGCUGUUGUUUUUCUCACUGACUUAGCAACGCAUACAGGAAUGAAUGUAUAAACAAGAAUUUCUGCCAUUGGGGAAAACUGCCAAAAUAAACAUGGGCUUUGAUAUCAACGGUAACAGUCUUCUACUGCUGUUCUUAAAUUACCACCAUGGAAUCAGUGGCUUAAAACAACAUAGAUUCGUUCCUAGAGUCCUGGAGGUCAGAAAUUCAAAAUUAAUUUUAUUGGGCUAAGAUCAAAGUAUCAACAGGGCAGGUUCCUUCUGGAGGCUCUGGGGAGCUUUCAUUUAUCAGGGGAGAACCCCUUUCCUUGCCUUUUUCACUUUCCAGUGGCUGCCCCAAUUCCUUGGCUUCAGCCUCUCUUUGUCUUCAAAGCCAUAGGAAGAACGUGGAACAUUAACUUUAUUUCAUGAGAAGCGCCCCAAGACAUUAAUAUUUAAAUAAACAUAGAUAUGUUAUAGAGUAGAAUGCAAAAUUCUCACGUGUUUUUUAAAAAAAAAUUUUUUUUAAUGUUUAUUUAUUUUUGAGACAGAGAGAGACAGAGCAUGAACGGGGGAGGGGCAGAGAGAGAGGGGGACACAGAAUCUGAAGCAGGCUCCAGGCUCUGAGCCAUCAGCCCAGAGCCCGACGCGGGGCAAGAUCAUGACCUGAGCCGAAGUCGGACGCUUAACUGACUGAGCCACGCAGGCACCCCUCUCAUGUGUUUUAAAGAUAAAAAUGUAGAGAUGCCUGGGUGGCUCAGUUGGUUAGGCGGCCGACUUUGGCUCAGGUCAUGAUCUCACAGCUAGU